UCCGUAGGUGAACCUGCGGAAGGAUCAUUACCGAGUUCAUGCCCUUACGGGUAGAUCUCCCACCCUUUGUAUACCAUACCUUUGUUGCUUUGGCGGGCCGCCUAGCUACUGGCUUCGGCUGGUAUGUGCCCGCCAGAGGACCCAAAACCCUGAAUUAUUAGUGUCGUCUGAGUAAAAUAUUUAAUAUUUAAAACUUUCAACAACGGAUCUCUUGGCUCUGGCAUCGAUGAAGAACGCAGCGAAAUGCGAUAAGUAAUGUGAAUUGCAGAAUUCAGUGAAUCAUCGAAUCUUUGAACGCACAUUGCGCCCCUUGGUAUUCCGAGGGGCAUGCCUAUUCGAGCGUCAUUAUCACCCCUCAAGCCUAGCUUGGUGUUGAGGCCUGCUGUCAAGGCAGCCUCUAAAAUCAGUGGCAGUGCUGUCAGGCUCUAAGCGUAKUAAAUCUAAUCGCUAUAGACGCCUGGUGGACACUCGCCAGAACCCCCCCCCAUUUUUUAAUGAUUGACCUCGGAUUAGGUAGGGAUACCCGCUGAACUUAAGCAUAUCAAUAAG
rnacentral:rRNA from 1 species